rnacentral:misc_RNA from 1 species
GAUGAAGAACGCAGUGAAAUGCGAUAAGUAAUGUGAAUUGCAGAAUUCAGUGAAUCAUCGAAUCUUUGAACGCACAUUGCGCCCGCCAGUAUUCUGGCGGGCAUGCCUGUUCGAGCGUCAUUUCAACCCUCAGGCCCCGCCUGGCGUUGGGGAUCGGCGCGGCCCUCUCCGGGCUGCCGGCCCCGAAAACUAGUGGCGGUCUCGCUGUAGUCCUCCUCUGCGCAGUAGCAACGCUCGCACUGGAACUCGGCGCGGCCACGCCGUAAAACACCCCACUUCUGAAAGUUGACCUCGGAUCAGGUAGGAAUACCCGCUGAACUUAAGCAUAUCAAAAGCGGAGGA